AGCGAAACCCGCGACCACCAACCCAUUCGAAUCGCGGAUGAUUCCGGCGAUUGAGCAGAGAAACUCGCCUGGGAGCCACGAAGCGUCGAUGUUGAGUUUCAGAUCUUCCCCAUCCGGCGGCUUCCACCAUCCAGAUCCACGAGAUCUGCUAGUUGCAGGGGUUUGGCUCUGAAAAUGAAGUGAUUCCGGGACUUCCAGAUGUUCCAGAGGACAGUCGCGAUGAGUUCUUGCUCCGGUGAUGUAAAACUUCUUGGACGAUGAGGAUAUUAUCCUGGAUUUGGCGUCCUUGGACAAAGGCACCCUGUUCAGGCUCGAUGAUUUCCGGGAGGGUGUUUCGUCUUCGGUAUCAAGGAUUGAUGGUAGAACAGACCAUUAAAACCGUCGGGACCCGGGGCUUUGAGGGAUCCCAAUUGAAACACUGCUGUCUUAACUUCUUCCAUGGGUGUAUCACAAGGAGAAGAGGACUAUGAUCUGAGCCGAUUCUGGGAGAGCUUGUACUUCAGCAUCAUGGAAGGUCAAUAAAUUCUGGGGAAGUUUCGUUGAGUUGAAGCCCCACUUCUUCUUGCCACAUAACAGCUAAGCCUCCCGCAAUUCCUUCUGGAUUAACUGUGAAUAGGUUUGAGAAUUUGAGUUUCCUUUUGAUGCCUUCCACCAUCGAUGCUUUAUUUUUCGUUUCCAUUAAAAAGAUAAGGUUGGGCCUUUCAAGAGCAACUAGUGCUCUCAAUGCUUGGAAUGUCAGGGGGUUGCCCAGCCCCUGACAAUUCCAACUGAUAAUUUUCAUUUCGUCAGUGGUGGCUUAUUAGGGCCAGCCACCAAGGCCCACUCUUUGCCAUCCUUAACGAUCUGAAUUGGGGUUUCCAAGAGGUCCGUAUCAUCAAUCAGUAGGGGAACGGGUUCU